AACACUGUUAACCUGCGGUACCUGCGGAGGGAUCAUUACACAAUACAAUAUGAAGGCUGUCCGCAGCUGGAGUAUUUUAUUACCCUUGUCUUUUGCGCACUUGUUGUUUCCUGGGCGGGUUCGCUCGCCACCAGGACCACCAAAUAAACCUUUUUUAUGCAGUUGCAAUCAGCGUCAGUACAAACAAUGUAAAUCAUUUACAACUUUUAACAACGGAUCU
rnacentral:misc_RNA from 1 species